rnacentral:lncRNA from 13 species
CUUCUUUAGAAAACUACCCUUUCCCUACUUUCAGUCUAAAAGGAUGGGGUUGAGAUUGACUUGAGCUAAUUCAAUUUCUACCUCCAUGGUACAGGCCUGGCAAGUUAGAGAGGGGCAUCCUUUGCUUUGUUCAGAGAUGUCACAAGACUCACCCAGAGCCAAUGAGACCCUAUCCUGGGAUUUCUGUUGGGAAGACAAAAUCACUGGUUACUGAGAGGAUAUGGUGUUAGCCCCAAAUUCCAAGCAACCAUCUUGCCAUCUUAAGGGGAGCACUAUUUGAGCACAGAGCCUUCACAGAGGAAAGCAAACCCAGCAGAUGUCAAAAGACCAAUCCUCAAAACAGUGAGGGCAUGCACUGAGAUGUGCCUGAAGGGUAAAUGCCCUUGGAUUUCCAGUUAUCUGACUGGAUUAUGAAAAAGCCAGUAAAUCUCCUUCUUGUUUUUUUUUUUUUCAGUUGUCUAAGAAUAUUUGAAUUGGGGUUCCUGUCAUUUGCAACAAAAAGAAGCAAUGAAAACAAAGAGUUCAGGAAGGGCACCUCUUGAAUGAGGGUUUUAUGAUCUGCUUCAGCAAAGAAACAUGAAGGGAAGGUCUUUUUGUGCCUGGCUUUAAUUUUUGAACAGUUUUCAGGAUGUGCAGUGGCUCUCCUAAAUAAUAUCACAUUCUGAGCAUGAUUCCAUAAGGAAGAUUUAUAAAACUGACCUCGAUAUCAAGCCUCACUCUACUGCAAAUAGAAAACAGGAGAGACAGCCUGUCUGUGGCAUCACCCCCACCACCUCAUUUUGAACAGGAAAUGUAACGCCUUGUCUACAAAAAUAACGAGGCUGUAUCAGGUGUGUGGCUGGCCUCUUAAUAAAGAGAAAAAUACUAUGCGUUAGGGGAGGCA